AUUGCAGUAGGGAAUCUUCGGCAAUGGGCGCAAGCCUGACCGAGCGAUGCCGCGUGAGGGAAGAAGGCCCUCGGGUUGUAAACCUCUGUCAGGAGGGACGAAAUCUGACGGUACCUCCAGAGGAAGCCACGGCUAACUACGUGCCAGCAGCCGCGGUAACACGUAGGUGGCGAGCGUUAUUCGGAAUCACUGGGCGUAAAGGGUCCGCAGGGGGUCUGCCAAGUCCGGUGUGAAAGCCCGCGGCUCAACCGCGGAAGUGCACUGGAAACUGGCGGACUUGAGUACAGGAGAGGAGAGCGGAAUUCCCGGUGUAGCGGUGGAAUGCGUAGAUAUCGGGAGGAACACCGACGGCGAAGGCAGCUCUCUGGCCUGUCACUGACCCUCAGGGACGAAAGCGUGGGCAGCAAACAGGAUUAGAUACCCUGGUAGUCCACGCCGUAAACGUUGUGCACUCGAUGCGGGGCCUUCGGGCUCCGUGUCCAAGCCAACGCGUUAAGUGCACCGCCUGGGGACUACGGCCGCAAGGCUAAAACUCAAAGGAAUUGACGG
rnacentral:rRNA from 1 species